rnacentral:rRNA from 1 species
CACGUAGGCACCAAGCGUUGUCCGGAUUUAUUGGGCGUAAAGAGCUCGUAGGCGGUUCGGUAAGUCGGGGGUGAAAGCCUGUGGCUCAACCACAGAAUUGCCUUCGAUACUGUCGAGCUUGAGACCGGAAGAGGUAAGUGGAACUGCGAGUGUAGAGGUGAAAUUCGUAGAUAUUCGCAAGAACACCAGUGGCGAAGGCGGCUAACUGGUCCGGUUCUGACGCUGAGGCGCGAAAGCGUGGGGAGCAAACAGG